GACGAACGCUGGCGGCGUGCUUAACACAUGCAAGUCGAACGGAAAGGCCCUGCUUUUGUGGGGUGCUCGAGUGGCGAACGGGUGAGUAACACGUGAGUAACCUGCCCUUGACUUUGGGAUAACUUCAGGAAACUGGGGCUAAUACCGGAUAGGAGCUCCUGCUGCAUGGGGGGGGUUGGAAAGUUUCGGCGGUGGGGGAUGGACUCGCGGCUUAUCAGCUUGUUGGUGGGGUAGUGGCUUACCAAGGCUUUGACGGGUAGCCGGCCUGAGAGGGUGACCGGCCACAUUGGGACUGCGAUACGGCCCAGACUCCUACGGGAGGCAGAAGUGGGGAAUAUUGCACAAUGGGCGGAAGCCUGAUGCAGCAACGCCGCGUGCGGGAUGACGGCCUUCGGGUUGUAAACCGCUUUCGCCUGUGACGAAGCGUGAGUGACGGUAAUGGGUAAAGAAGCACCGGCUAACUACGUG
rnacentral:rRNA from 1 species